rnacentral:rRNA from 1 species
UGGGGAAUUUUCCGCAAUGGCGAAAGCCUGACGGAGCAAUGCCGCGUGGAGGUGGAAGGCCUACGGGUCGUCAACUUCUUUUCUCGGAGAAGAAACAAUGACGGUAUCUGAGGAAUAAGCAUCGGCUAACUCUGUGCCAA